CGAUGCAUCUAGAUUAGAGUUUGAUCCUGGCUCAGGAUGAACGCUAGCGGCAGGCUUAACACAUGCAGUCGCGGGGCAGCGGGAGUAGCAAUACUCGCCGGCGACCGGCGGAAGGGUGCGUAACGCGUGAGCAACAUGCCCGUCUCAGGGGGAUAACCGAUGGAAACGUCGCCUAAUACCCCGUAACAACGGAUCCCGCAUGAGAUCUGUUUGAAAGCUCCGGCGGAGACGGAUUGGCUCGCGUGACAUUAGCUAGUUGGCGGGGUAACGGCCCACCAAGGCGACGAUGUCUAGGGGUUCUGAGAGGAAGGUCCCCCACACUGGAACUGAGACACGGUCCAGACUCCUACGGGAGGCAGCAGUGAGGAAUAUUGGUCAAUGGACGCAAGUCUGAACCAGCCAUGCCGCGUGCAGGAAUGAGGCCUAUGGGUCGUAAACUGCUUUUGCUGCGGAGCAUAUGGUCUACGUGUAGUCCGAUGAGAGUACGCAGCGAAUAGCAUCGGCUAACUCCGUGCCAGCAGCCGCGGUAAUACGGAGAUGCGAGCGUUAUCCGGAUUUAUUGGGU
rnacentral:rRNA from 1 species